rfam:Bacillus marisflavi strain JCM 11544 super9, whole genome shotgun sequence.
UAAAUAGUAUGGCUUAAUCGAUCGAGCGGAGGAAUCAUUCAAGUGGUAUUCCGAUACCUUGGGGUGCAUCCUUUUACUAGGUAGGGAACUCUCAAUCCCGAAUCCGACAGUUAACUCCGUAUGCCAGUUGAGAGAAAGA